GUCUAUGGCCAUGCCACCCUGAACGUGCCCGAUCUCAUCUGAUCUCAGAAGUUAAGCAGGGUCGGGCCUGGUUAGUACUUUGGUGGGAGAUCACCUAGGAAUACCAGGUGCCGUAGGCA
rfam:Pteropus alecto contig86020, whole genome shotgun sequence.